rnacentral:rRNA from 1 species
CCUACGGGGGGCAGCAGUGAGGAAUAUUGGUCAAUGGACGAGAGUCUGAACCAGCCAAGUAGCGUGAAGGAUGACUGCCCUAUGGGUUGUAAACUUCUUUUAUAAAGGAAUAAAACGAGGCACGUGUGCCUUUUUGCAUGUACUUUAUGAAUAAGGAUCGGCUAACUCCGUGCCAGCAGCCGCGGUAAUACGGAGGAUCCGAGCGUUAUCCGGAUUUAUUGGGUUUAAAGGGAGCGUAGAUGGGUUGUUAAGUCAGUUGUGAAAGUUUGCGGCUCAACCGUAAAAUUGCAAUUGAUACUGGCAGUCUUGAGUACAGUUGAGGUAGGCGGAAUUCGUGGUGUAGCGGUGAAAUGCUUAGAUAUCACGAAGAACCCCGAUUGCGAAGGCAGCUUACUAAACUGUGACUGACGCUGAAGCUCGAAAGCGCGGGUAUCGAACAGGAUUAGAUACCCCUGUAGUC